GUCUGGCAGCCAAUCUUGUCCUCGCCUCGUCCCACUCACACACAAGCCGCCAGAGAAACCCUAGCCCCUUUCCCGUCGGUCCCCACAGCCUCCCACUCCCCUGUGCCUCGUCUCCUCCUCGCUCCCUCCACUGCUCUCCUACGCCGCCGCCGCCUCCCCUUCUCCCUGCUCUUCGCCUCCGUCCUCCCCUCGACACCCUCGCCUCCGACCUCUCCGGCAGCACCCCAACUCCACUCUCGGGCCAAGCCGAGUCACCUCCAGGCCAGCAUCCGCUCCACCCCGUUCUUCUCCAUCCGAGCGGCGGCGAGCCCGCGGAUCUGGCGCCCCGGGAGUGGAAGAAACAAGGAGUAGGCGCCGCCAGAUGGAGGAGGAGAUGGCGCCCAGGGAGAGUGGCGGCGGCGGCCCCUCUACCUACGACCGAGCCAGGGGACAAAAAUGGCAGCGGCGGCAGGGAGCAUGCGAGCAACGACGGUGACUGGACGCCAGGAGCUGGACGAGUUGGUCCAUGCCGAGGAAGAUGGCGUUGCGUGAUAAUUCAGGCGUUCUUCCUUCUUAGUAUGAACAGAUAGGUUGAUUACAAAAUAUAUUUGAAGAUUGCAGCAGGCGCAAAAUGCUUGGUAGACAAAAAUAAUUAGCUUUGAACUUGCCUAGAGAGAGACUACUCUCGCAUCAUUAGGUAUCGCCCACAAAGAUCUCGCUUGGUGAGGCAUGCGCACCUAUGCCACAUCGUUACAUAUCCUAUGCACCUGCCUCCUUCCUCCAGGCGCCUGAAGGCUAACGUGAGGACCUGACGAGCUAAACAAGGAGCUGGAGCAGGACUGUAGGAGGGAGGUACACUAGGGGCUGGAGCAGGACAACCAUUGUUUCAGAUCCCACUUGACUCAUCCCAAGUGGUUGCAAUGUCUUCUUAUGAAUUUUUUAUUUACACACAUAAUGAUAAGAGACCAAUAUUUUCCAAAAGAUUAGAUUCAUAGUUUAAAGAAGGAUACGGAAAUAUGAAAAUAAGAGCUGUUUGUAAAAUUUGUACAAAAUGUCCCUUACCAUAAUGAACUUGGUUUCUAAUCACACACAUGUACUGCUACAUGAUCCUAUACGUGCUGUUUGAAUCAAGUGAUAGGAUACUGGCAUUUAUCUCCGGGUUUAUUAGGACUCAAUUGGCGGGGACUUGGAUAAUUUCUUAAUCUUGCACUGGUUCCCACCAUUGAGACUGCAUAUGUGGUCCUUACAUCGGAUAUGCUUCUGGAUCUGCAGUUAUCCCAGCCUAACUGAGAUUUGUUUGUUUAUUCUACUAUUUCUUUUGAGUAAUACCGACUAACUUGGUUUACGAUGUUACUGGUGGUCUGAUGCUUUUAUAGAAGCAUUUGUGUGUUUUCAAGCUUAGGAGUAAGGAGUUCAAGGAGCAAUGAUCGAAUUUUGUGAUCUGCUUCAAACAGAUCUGCUGCUGAAAAUGAUCCUUAACUCAUUAUCUAUCUUGAUCUUCAGCCCGUACGGUUAGUAAGGCACAUUAUUUUGACAAAAAAAAGAAGGAUCCUCAAUUGGUAUUAUACAUGUUGUUAGGUACAAGUACGUUGUAGGUCAAAGGAAAAAUAAAUAGAUAUAGAGAGGUAUAAAUUCAACAAAAAACAUUUUUUUGAUAUAAAGGCUAUUCCAUUUGUUACCUAUUGUACUUGCCCAUGACUAAAACAAUUAAUACAUGGUUUUCUUUUCAAAGCAUACAUGGAAUCAGUGGGCCUCUGUGCCAUUUGGCACAACGGGUAUAGUGCUGCCAAGAGAUUCAGUAUAUUCAUGAAGUUGUGCAAAGUUUAAAAUUGGUUGCGGUAUCUUGCAUUUGUCAAAUCUUUAUAUGUUGUUGGUGUCAUGCUUAUGCCCAGAAUAUUAAGCUUGUGCUAUGCUGUGACUAAAUAAAAGCAAUGUUCAGACUUAUCUUUUGUUUGCUCUACUUAAAGAGUUCAAGGUUUACCCAGAGGGCAAUUAUAUGUUUCCUACUGCCGUCUCCCGCGUGACGUCGAGAAAAUCAUUGAUGUUUCUAUUUUACUUUGCCAACAUUUUCGUUUUCAAAUAGUUCUGCCUCUCAAUUUCAUAUUUCUACUUGAUUUUGCUUAGUAAUAUGAUGUAUUGUUUUCUAGCUCUAGGCCUACUUGUGUUCAAGGUUAGUUGAUUCUGUUUCUUAAGGGUGUUUUUUUUAAUUAGUGGCAUCAACAUGUGGCACUAAUUUCGUUGUGCAUUGUACUAUGAUUUUUCCAAACAACACCAUUAUGGUAAACAGCUAUGCUAAUAAGGGUCAGGAGAACAAUAGAGAUGCUAAGAGUCAACCUUUUGGGGUUAAGGAUAUAAACAACAACAGGGCUUAUGAGUCCGAAGAGGGCUCGAGUGGCCUCUUUUGGUUCUUGAAGCCCUGCACUUUCCUGGUGGAGUAGCAGCAGAAUAUAUUCAGAGGCUUUAAAGCUAUUGCACUUCACGUAGGCAAAUAAACAGAAGUCAUAUGUAUUGUUACGAGUGAAGCCAUCCAUACAAGUCAAGAUAUUAAUAAUCCCAUAUGUGUUUUUUGAGAUA